CUGAAAACCUUCCGACUUGAGGUCUUUCCGUCUUGAGGACCUCCCGACCUGAAAACCUUCCGACUUGAGGUCUUUCCGUCUUGAGGACCUACCGACCUGAGGUCCUUCCGUCCUGAUGACUUUCCGUCUUGAGGGCCUCCCGACCUGAAGACCUUCCGACUUGAGGUCUUUCCGUCUUGAGGACCUCCCGACCUGAAAACCUUCCGACUUGAGGUCUUUCCGUCUUGAGGACCUACCGACCUGAGGUCCUUCCGUCCUGAUGACUUUCCGUCUUGAGGACCUCCCGACCUGAAGACCUUCCGACUUGAGGUCUUUCCGUCUUGACGACCUACCGACCUGAAGACCUUCCGACCUGAAGUCUUUCCGUCUUGAGGACCUCCCGACCUGAAGACCUUCCGACUUGAGGUCUUUCCGUCUUGAGGACCUACCGACCUGAGGUCCUUCCGUCCUGAUGACUUUCCGUCUUGAGGACCUCCCGACCUGAAGACCUUCCGACCUGAGGUCUUUCCGUCUUGAGGACCUACCGACCUGAAGACCUUCCGACCUGAAGUCUUUCCGUCUUGAGGACCUACCGACCUGAAGACCUUCCGACCUGAAGUCUUUCCGUCCUGUAUUUUCCUUGAUUUCCACACGGUGUCCUUCAGCCGGUUCAACCAACUCUAUCGCCAGGCCCAUUCUCCUUUUUACCUUGGGCUUUUAACCUAAUUCUAAAUUUCGUACGUAACAACUUGCCCGCCGCCAAGGGACUUUCAAACGCCAUUUAACAAUCAAUGUUUGGA